rnacentral:rRNA from 1 species
CACGUAGGCGGUCCGUUAAGUGGGGUGUGAAAUCCCCGGGCUCAACCCGGGAAUUGCGCUCCAGACUGGCGGGCUAGAGUGUGGUAGAGGGGGGUAGAAUUCCCUGUGUAGCGGUGAAAUGCGUAGAUAUAGGGAGGAAUACCUGUGGCGAAGGCGGCCCCCUGGACCAACACUGACGCUGAGGUGCGAAAGCGUGGGGAGCAAACA